rnacentral:rRNA from 1 species
CAAUAGCGUAUAUUAAAGUUGUUGCAGUUAAAAAGCUCGUAGUUGGAUUUCUGGUGGGAGCGAUCGGUCUGGCGCUUAGCGCGAGUACUUGCAUCGUCUCCGGCCAUCCUUGGGGAGAGUCUGUCUGGCAUUAGGUUGUCGGGCAGAGGAUCCUCAUCGUUUACUGUGAAAAAAUUAGAGUGUUCAAAGCAGGCUUAUGCCGUUGAAUAUAUUAGCAUGGAAUAAUAAGAUAGGACUUUGGUACUAUUUUGUUGGUUUGCGCACCAAAGUAAUGAUUAAUAGGGACAGUUGGGGGUAUUCGUAUUCCGUUGUCAGAGGUGAAAUUCUUGGAUUUACGGAAGACGAACUACCGCGAAAGCAUUUACCAAGGAUGUUUUCAUUAA